AUCUGCUGUUGGCGUAGAAGUCCUGCCACGCCACUUCCGCGGGGUGACCCCUCAGCCAUGGAGCGUCACACUCAUCGCUGCCAGUGUCUCCAGGGUUCCAGAAGUACACUUCACAUACUGGGAGAGUUUCUCCUCCUCCAUAAGCGGUGACUUGGGCGGGAUAGUGACAUCCUCGGUCAUAAUUUGGGAUUAAUACCUGCUGGGAGGGACGAAGAGGAUUCACAGAACCCGAGAAGGUUUAUGGAACAACCUCUGGGAGAAGCAAAGUCAAGGGUGGAGCCCAAGCUGGGACAUGGUGAGAAGCUGGGUGACACGGUGACGAGUGAGUGGUCCACCUCCCACCCCUGCCCUAAAGCUGAGGGGGAAUUGACGAGACCAAGCGACUUCCUGCCCCAAGUGACAGCCGCAGAGCUGGGCCCACAGUGCUGGCCUCCUGCCGCCUGGCCCUCUGCUUUCUCCUGGACCACAGGUCUGUGUCCCUCUUCCGGGGGUAAACACUGUCUAGAAGAACGUGCUGGCCUGGCGGAUGAACCAGUCACUCGGCCACCUGGCUGGCAUCCGUCCCUUGAGCAGAUUUCGUGAGCGCCAUCAGGAAGCCGGGGAAUCUGGGCCGGGUCGGGAGGCUCAGUGUCACGCCUGGAACCCUCGCAUCGGCGCGUGCAAACCGGAGGCACAGAAGGCCUGGCGGCGACAGGGAGGUGCCUCCCGCCCUCUGGCUCCUCGGCCACCCCCUGCUGUUUCAGGAUCCCGUGCAGAACGUCCCUCCCUCCGUGCUUCUCCCCUUCUCUUAGGUCGACUCCAGGUACCUGAUUGUCCUCGUGCCUUCCGUCCCCUCCCCCGUGUAGGGAUCGGUUUCCUUGCCCUUCACGUGAUCAGCACGGGAUGAGAGAGGAGCCUUUCUCUCGGCAGAGGCCGCUUUCCAGCGGCUUUAUUUUCCAUUCGACCUUAGACGCUACUGAAAACGGUUCUUUGCCUUUUUAAUUUUGGCUGCUGCUGAGUCGGGCGCAGCCCCUGGUUCAGGAAAUGUCAAUCCAGAGGCUCGAUGCCACCGUCCUCGGCUCCGAGGCUCUGUGGGCCAUGCUCCCGGCCUCUCACCUGAGGGCCAGUUUUGUACCCAGCGGGGGAUCAGUGGACACGAGGGCUCAGAGAGGCAGAGAGCCUGAGACGGUGAGGAGGGCGGGAGGUUUGGGGCCAGAGUUCCUGACGCAGCGGGCCCCCACCCCCCUCACCCUUGUGUGCGCCUCGCCCUGCCCUCCUCAUCGACUUUGGGUUGCGGACAAUUCAGGAAGCAAGGCAUUUGCUAUGAAGCCGCAGGCCCAGUACCAGGAGCUCCUAGGUGUUAUCUGCUCCUUGGAAUCCUCUGCCCUCCAGAUCGGCUCGGGUUGCUAAGAGAAACUAAGUGGCAUCGAAAGCAUCAGCAUUUGUGUGCCACAGAGUCUUUGGCUCUGCUGGACCUCGGGAGACAAGCAGCAAUACUCGCUACAACUUAUCGAAAUCCACGAGGCUGGUUAAGGGUGUCACCUACACUAUCGCUAAUACUCGUGACAGGUGAACAGGCACCGGACAAAUUUGGCCCCUGCCGAACUUUGCCAGGUCCUGCUCUAGAUGAUUGGCCACUUCACUCACAGUCAAACGUUCUUCCUUUUCUUUGACCGCCCCUACCACCAAGUGGAACGAAGUGCCCGUCACUGCGUGCUACCCGUGUCUGCUGCCCCCGCCCCGCCUCACAGGGUCGUGGCAUGCUUCCUGUUGCACCUGCUGGCACCGGGACUCCGAACCCGGGCCUGGAGGUGCUAACCACACGGACAGCACUGCCCUCUGGCCCCAGACUGUGCUCUUGGCUCGCCUUCCACCAUCCCCUUCGCCCAGCUGGAGAAGCCCCUCUCCCUGUCAGUCACAAUUCUAUGUGCCCGGAAAGGGCGGCCCCCUGCCUCAGGUCUUCAUAGAGUCCCCAAAUACUACACCUCACACGAGGGAGGCUGGUUUGCUCCUUACAAAGCCUCCCAAAGACCUUGGGACACUUUGCUCGGGACUUCCAAGGCACACCCUUCAGCGUUGAGUCAAGUGUGUCCUGCCUUGGGACAGCUGCCGGGUCCCAAGGCACACCUCCAAGGCUCAACGCAGAGUGUGGUUUGGGGGCGCCGGGGGCUGACUCCCAGACCCCAGAGCCCUUUACCACUUCUCUCGGGCGCCUGGGCUGCCUGACGCGUAGUUGCCGGCUGUAGCCCCUGGUCAGGCAUGGCUGGCCGGGCCUGUUCCACAAAUGCUGGAGCAGGAUGGAGGGUCCAAAUGUGGAAGCUAGGCGUCACUCCCAUAGGAAGGGGCCAGGGCGGGUGCUAACGAGAUCAGGCAUUCAAGGGACGAGGGGGUGGGGCUGUAAUGAGGGAGGCUCCACCCUGCCGAGAAGAAGCCGGGAAGGCUGGGAGAUGAGGAAAGUAUGGGAAAGAUGCUAAUCUCACUGAAAAGGACACGGACGCCUCUGGGCAUCUGUCUUUUCCAUUCCAGAGGGAUCGGGCAGUGAGAGUGAGCUGCAGGUGAGGGCGAGGACGGGGGUGGACUUUGCACGGCCAUUUCCCAACUCCGCGACCUUUGCUAAGUUAUUUAACCUCUCUGUGUCCUUGGCCUUAAAAAUGGGAAUGCUUGGCUGCUCUGGUUAGUAUAGGAUUAGAGGAAAUAAAGUUAGUAGAGAGCCUCUGCCUGA